GAUGAACGCUGGCGGCGUGCCUAAUACAUGCAAGCCGAGCGAACGGACGAGAAGCUUGCUUCUCUGAUGUUAGCGGCGGACGGGUGAGUAACACGUGGAUAACCUACCUAUAAGACUGGGAUAACUUCGGGAAACCGGAGAUAAUACCGGAUAAUAUUUUGAACCGCAUGGUUCAAAAGUGAAAGACGGUCUUGCUGUCACUUAUAGAUGGAUCCGCGCUGCAUUAGCUAGUUGGUAAGGUAACGGCUUACCAAGGCAACGAUGCAUAUCCGACCUGAGAGGGUGAUCGGCCACACUGGAACUGAGACACGGUCCAGACUCCUACGGGAGGCAGCAGUAGGGAAUCUUCCGCAAUGGGCGAAAGCCUGACGGAGCAACGCCGCGUGAGUGAUGAAGGUCUUCGGAUCGUAAAACUCUGUUAUUAGGGAAGAACAUAUGUGUAAGUAACUGUGCACAUCUUGACGGUACCUAAUCAGAAAGCCACGGCUAACUACGUG
rnacentral:rRNA from 1 species